rnacentral:rRNA from 1 species
UACGUAGGGUGCGAGCGUUGUCCGGAAUUAUUGGGCGUAAAGCGCGCGCAGGCGGUUCCUUAAGUCUGAUGUGAAAGCCCACGGCUCAACCGUGGAGGGUCAUUGGAAACUGGGGAACUUGAGUGCAGGAGAGAAGAGUGGAAUUCCACGUGUAGCGGUGAAAUGCGUAGAUAUCGGGAGGAACACCUGUGGCGAAGGCGGCUUUCUGGGCCUUACCUGACGCUGAGACGCGAAAGCGUGGGGAGCGAGCCGG